rnacentral:ncRNA from 1 species
UAAAGGUUUGGUCCUGGCCUUUUUAUUAGUUAGUAGUAAAAUUAUACAUGCAAGCCUCAACAACCCAGUGAGAAUGCCCUUAAAAUCUAUUAGAUCUAAAGGAGUGGGUAUCAAGCACGCCAUUAGGCAGCUAAUAACACCUUGCUUAGCCACACCCCCACGGGUUACAGCAGUAACAAAAAUUUAGCGAUUAACGAAAGUUAGACUAAGUUAUACUACUCUUAGGGUUGGUAAAUUUCGUGCCAGCCACCGCGGUCAUACGAUUAACCCAAAUUAAUAAAUUCCGGCGUAAAGCGUGUUCAGAGAAAUUAAUAACAAUAAAGAUGAGCUAUUUCUACACUGUAAAAAGUUAUAGAAAUACUAAAAAUAUACCACGAAAGUGACUUUAUCAUACUUUACAAUACGAUAGCUAAGACACAAACUGGGAUUAGAUACCCCACUAUGCUUAGCCCUAAACUUUAAUAAUUCAUAACAAAAUUAUUCGCCAGAGAACUACUAGCAAUAGCUUAAAACUUAAAGGACUUGGCGGUGCUUUAUACCCACCUAGAGGAGCCUGUUAUAUAAUCGAUAAACCCCGAUAUACCUCACCACUACUUGCUAAUUCAGCCUAUAUACCGCCAUCUUCAGCAAACCCUUAAAAGGGAACACAGUAAGCUUAAUAAUUUCCAUAAAAACGUUAGGUCAAGGUGUAGCCUAUGUAGUGGUACCUAAUGGGCUACAUUUUCUGACUCAGAACAUUCCAACGGAUAUUUUUAUGAAAUUAAAAAUUAAAGGAGAAUUUAGUAGUAAAUUAAGAAUAGAGCGCUUAAUUGAAUUAGGCCAUGAAGCACGUACACACCGCCCGUCACCCUCCUCAAGUAACUACACUUCCUUAAACUAUAUUUUGACUUAACAAAAUACAAGAGGAGAUAAGUCGUAACAAGGUAAGCAUACUGGAAAGUGUGCUUGGAAAACU